rnacentral:rRNA from 1 species
UACGUAGGUGGCAAGCGUUGUCCGGAUUUACUGGGCGUAAAGAGCGCGCAGGCGGUCAGAUAAGUCGAAUGUGAAAGCCCCCGGCUCAACUGGGGAGGGUCAUUCGAUACUGUUCGACUCGAAGGCAGAAGAGGGAAGCGGAAUUCCAGGUGUAGCGGUGAAAUGCGUAGAUAUCUGGAGGAACACCGGUGGCGAAGGCGGCAUCCUGGACCGGUAUUGACGCUGAGGCGCGAAAGCUAGGGGAGCAAACGGG